UACGAAGGGGGCUAGCGUUGCUCGGAAUUAUUGGGCGUAAAGCGCGCGCAGGCGGUCCUUUAAGUCUGAUGUGAAAGCCCACGGCUCAACCGUGGAGGGUCAUUGGAAACUGGGGGACUUGAGUGCAGAAGAGGAAAGCGGAAUUCCACGUGUAGCGGUGAAAUGCGUAGAGAUGUGGAGGAACACCAGUGGCGAAGGCGGCUUUCUGGUCUGUAACUGACGCUGAGGCGCGAAAGCGUGGGGAGCAAACAGG
rnacentral:rRNA from 1 species